rnacentral:rRNA from 1 species
UACGUAGGGUGCAAGCGUUAUCCGGAAUUAUUGGGCGUAAAGAGCUCGUAGGCGGUUUGUCGCGUCUGCUGUGAAAACUGGGGGCUCAACCCCCAGCCUGCAGUGGGUACGGGCAGACUAGAGUGCGGUAGGGGAGAUUGGAAUUCCUGGUGUAGCGGUGGAAUGCGCAGAUAUCAGGAGGAACACCGAUGGCGAAGGCAGAUCUCUGGGCCGAUACUGACGCUGAGGAGCGAAAGCGUGGGGAGCGAACAGG